AUUGAACGCUGGCGGCAGGCUUAACACAUGCAAGUCGAGCGGAGAUGAGGUGCUUGCACCUUAUCUUAGCGGCGGACGGGUGAGUAAUGCUUAGGAAUCUGCCUAUUAGUGGGGGACAACAUUCCGAAAGGAAUGCUAAUACCGCAUACGCCCUACGGGGGAAAGCAGGGGAUCUUCGGACCUUGCGCUAAUAGAUGAGCCUAAGGCGGAUUAGCUAGUUGGUGGGGUAAAUGCCUACCAAGACGACGAUCUGUAGCGGGUCUGAGAGGAUGAUCCGCCACACUGGGACUGAGACACGGCCCAGACUCCUACGGGAGGCAGCAGUGGGGAAUAUUGGACAAUGGGCGGAAGCCUGAUCUAGCCAUGCCGCGUGUGUGAAGAAGGCCUUUUGGUUGUAAAGCACUUUAAGCGAGGAGGAGGCUACCUGGAUUAAUACUCUAGGAUAGUGGACGUUACUCGCAGAAUAAGCACCGGCUAACUCUGUGCCAGCCGCCGCUGUAA
rnacentral:rRNA from 1 species